CUACGGGCUGCUCCAGUGAGGAAUAUUGCACAAUGGGGGGAACCCUGAUGCAGCAACGCCGCGUGGAGGAUGACGCAUUUCGGUGUGUAAACUCCUUUUAUAUGUCAAGAAAAUGACGGUAGCAUAUGAAUAAGCACCGGCUAACUCCGUGCCAGCAGCCGCGGUAAUGCGGAGGGUGCAAGCGUUACUCGGAAUCACUGGGCGUAAAGGACGCGUAGGCGGGUUGGAAAGUCAGGUGUGAAAUCCUACAGCUUAACUGUAGAACUGCACUUGAAACUUCUAAUCUAGAGUAUGGGAGGGGGAGAUGGAAUUAGUGGUGUAGGGGUAAAAUCCGUAGAUAUCACUAGGAAUACCUAAAGCGAAGGCGAUCUCCUGGAACAUUACUGACGCUAAGGCGUGAAAGCGUGGGGAGCAAGCAGGAUUAGAUACCCGCGUAGUC
rnacentral:rRNA from 1 species